rnacentral:rRNA from 1 species
GGACGAAAGUCUGAUGGAGCAACGCCGCGUGAGCGAAGAAGGCCUUCGGGUCGUAAAGCUCUGUUGUUAGGGAAGAACAAGUAUCGGAGUAACUGCCGGUACCUUGACGGUACCUAACCAGAAAGCCACGGCUAACUACGUGCCAGCAGCCGCGGUAAUACGUAGGUGGCAAGCGUUGUCCGGAAUUAUUGGGCGUAAAGCGCGCGCAGGCGGUCCUUUAAGUCUGAUGUGAAAGCCCACGGCUCAACCGUGGAGGGUCAUUGGAAACUGGGGGACUUGAGUGCAGAAGAGGAAAGCGGAAUUCCACGUGUAGCGGUGAAAUGCGUAGAGAUGUGGAGGAACACCAGUGGCGAAGGCGGCUUUCUGGUCUGUAACUGACGCUGAGGCGCGAAAGCGUGGGGAGCAAACAGGAUUAGAUACCCUGGUAGUCCACGCCGUAAACGAUGAGUGCUAAGUGUUAGGGGGUUUCCGCCCCUUAGUGCUGCAGCUAACGCAUUAAGCACUCCGCCUGGGGAGUACGG